rnacentral:rRNA from 1 species
UACGAGGGGUGCAAGCGUUGUUCGGAAUCACUGGGCGUAAAGGGAGCGUAGGCGGAGCUCCAAGUCGGUCGUUCAAUGCCGGGGCCUAACCCCGGACCUGCGGCCGAUACUGGGGCUCUUGAGUUAUCUAGAGGCAGGCGGAAUUCCAGGUGUAGCGGUGGAAUGCGUAGAGAUCUGGAAGAACACCAAUGGCGAAGGCAGCCUGCUGGGGAUUAACUGACGCUGAGGCUCGAAAGUGCGGGUAGCAAACAGG